rnacentral:misc_RNA from 1 species
UCCGGUUUGUCACCGGCAGUCACCUUAGAGUGCCCAUCCUAAAUGCUGGCAACUAAGAUCAAGGGUUGCGCUCGUUGCGGGGCUUAACCCAACAUCUCACGACACGAGCUGACGACAACCAUGCACCACCUGUCACCGCUGUCCCGAAGGAAAGCUUCAUCUCUGAAGCGGUCAGCGGGAUGUCAAGACCUGGUAAGGUUCUUCGCGUUGCUUCGAAUUAAUCCACAUGCUCCGCCGCUUGUGCGGGCCCCCGUCAAUUCCUUUGAGUUUUAGCCUUGCGGCCGUACUCCCCAGGCGGGGCGCUUAAUGCGUUAGCUACGGCACGGAUCCCGUGGAAGGAAACCCACACCUAGCGCCCACCGUUUACGGCGUGGACUAC